UAAGUUCUUCCCCUCGGGUUCCUCAGUCCUCUUCUACAUCCAGCAUGGCAGCAGAAAGGAGCUCACGGUGCGCCUUCUCGCAGCGGUUUCUUCAAAUGUUACCCCUUGGAAUCGAAAAGCUGAAUAGAUUGUCUGAAACAAGCAUGACCGUAGGCUGUAUGGAGUCCAGCUUGGAAUGGUGCCCGAGUGACUUGCAUGACAGCUAAGGAGCAGAAAACGAAUCUGAUUUGAAGAUGAUUUCCAUACAAAUAAGCUCCAGUGUGCAACUGUGUUUGAGCUGUCUGGAGACCUACCUUGCUAGAUUUGAGAGCUGGUAAAGAGUGGAGUGAAAGAGUCCUAGCUUUUGGACGAAGAUCUGAGUCUGCUGUGUUUCAGAUUCUCCUGAGAUUGAAGCUCUAGGUUGACCAUGAGUUUGAAAGCUGGUUUAUGCAGGAGUCAACAAAUGGGGAAAGUAACCACAUGAUCCUGCUAAUGACCGACAGCUGAUGAUGGACUUAUAUUUUUUGGGUUCCUUUUGUCAUCACUGGCCAGAAAAUCGUUGACCUCAAGCAAGCUGAAUGAUGAAACUACAACUCUCAAUGUUUCAAUGAAGGACAAUAUAAUCUGUUUUGUCAAAUAAACUUUGAAGUAA